rnacentral:rRNA from 1 species
CGACUAUACGCGAAGAACCUUACCUGGCCUUGACAUAGAAAGAAUUUAGCAGAGAUGUAAAAGUGCUAGUUUACUAGAGCUUUUCAUACAAGGUGCUGCACGGCUGUCGUCAGCUCGUGUCGUGAGAUGUUAGGUUAAGUCCUGCAACGAGCGCAACCCUCGUGUUUAGUUACUAACAGAUUAUGCUGAGGACUCUAGACAUACUGCCUGGGCAACCAGGAGGAAGGUGAGGACGACGUCAAGUCAUCAUGGCCCUUACGGCCAGGGCUACACACGUGCUACAAUGGGGUAUACAAAGAGCAGCGAUACCGCGAGGUGGAGCAAAUCUCAUAAAAUAUCUCCCAGUUCGGAUUACACUCUGCAACUCGAGUGUAUGAAGUUGGAAUCGCUAGUAAUCGUAGAUCAGCAAUGCUACGGUGAAUACGUUCCC